rnacentral:rRNA from 1 species
AGUCCCGCAACGAGCGCAACCCCUACUACUAGUUGCCAGCAUUUCGGAUGGGGACUCUAGUGGAACUGCCAGCGCAAGCUGUGAGGAAGGUGGGGACGACGUCAAGUCAUCAUGGCCCUUACGCCCAGGGCUACACACGUGCUACAAUGGCCGGUACAGAGGGUCGCGACACAGUGAUGUGAAGCCAAUCUCAAAAAGCCGGUCUCAGUUCGGAUCGGAGUCUGCAACUCGACUCCGUGAAGUUGGAAUCGCUAGUAAUCGCGCAUCAGCAAUGGCGCGGUGAAUACGUUCCCGGACCUU